AGAGAGAGAGAGAGAGAGAGAGAGAGAGAGAGAGAGAGAGAGAGGUAAGAGAGGACUAGAAAAACAGGGACAUGGUGGCAUGCUUCAAUCAGGGACACAGAAGGCCUGCCCUGACCAGAGACAGCACUACUUGUUUCCCAAAAGGCCUGUUCUAACCCAGGUCAUACAUCUCUACAUGGUCUGCUACAGUCUGAGACACCCAGGCCAGUUAACAUCAGAUAUAACCAGACAGUGAAAGGCACAAGAACAUAAACAACAGAAGCAAUGUAAUCUGGCAUCAUCAGAACCCAGUUCUCCUACCACAACAAGCUCUGGCUACCAUAAUACAACUGAAGAACAGGAAUCUGACCUAAAUUCCUAUCACAUAAAGAUGAUAGAGGCCUUUAAGGAGGAUAUAAAUAACUUAUUUUAAGAAAUACAGGAAAACACAGGGAAAUAGGUAGAAGCCUUUAAAGAGGAAAAAACAAAUCCCUUAAAAAAUACAGGAAAAUACAAUCAAAUAAGUGAAGUAAUUGAACAAAAUGGUCCAAGACCUAAAAAUGAAAAUAGAAACAAUAAAGAAUUCACAAAUGGAUGCAACCUUGGAGAAGGAAAACUUGGGAAAGAAUCAGGAACUACAGAUGCAACUAAUACCAAGAGAGUACAAGAGAUGAAAAAGAGACUCUCAGGCAUUGAAGAUACCAUAGAAGAUAUUGACACAACAUUGGUCAAAGAAAAUACAAAGUGUAAAAAGUUCCUAACCUAAAACAUCCAAGAAAUUUGGGACACAAUGAAAAGACCAAACAUACAGAGCCCUUGUAAGAAUGAGCUCUU
rnacentral:lncRNA from 1 species